rnacentral:tRNA from 1 species
GCCCUAGUAGCUUAGUACUAAAGCACCGGUCUUGUAAUCCGGAGAUCGAAGGUAAAAUCCUCCCUAGUGCC